rnacentral:rRNA from 1 species
AACGAACGCUGGCGGCAUGCCUAACACAUGCAAGUCGAACGAGACCUUCGGACUUAGUGGCGCACGGGUGCGUAACGCGUGGGAAUCUGCCCUUGGGUGCGGAAUAACUUCUCGAAAGGGAUGCUAAUACCGCAUAAUGUCGUAAGACCAAAGAUUUAUCGCCCAAGGAUGAGCCCGCGUAAGAUUAGCUAGUUGGUGGGGUAAAAGCCUACCAAGGCGACGAUCUUUAGCUGGUCUGAGAGGAUGAUCAGCCACACUGGGACUGAGACACGGCCCAGACUCCUACGGGAGGCAGCAGUGGGGAAUAUUGGACAAUGGGCGAAAGCCUGAUCCAGCAAUGCCGCGUGAGUGAUGAAGGCCCUAGGGUUGUAAAGCUCUUUUACCAGGGAUGAUAAUGACAGUACCUGGAGAAUAAGCUCCGGCUAACUCCGUGCCAGCAGCCGCGGUAAU